rnacentral:rRNA from 1 species
GACGAACGCUGGCGGCGUGCUUAACACAUGCAAGUCGAGCGAUGAAACACCUUCGGGUGUGAAUUAGCGGCGAACGGGUGAGGAACACGUGAAGAAUCUGCCUUCAACUCUGGGAUAACUCCGGGAAACCGGGGCUAAUACCGGAUAUGAGCCUUGAUCGCAUGAUCGGGGCUGGAAAGUUUUUCGGUUGAAGAUGACUUCACGGCCUAUCAGCUUGUUGGUGAGGUAAUGGCUCACCAAGGCGACGACGGGUAGCCGGCCUGAGAGGGCGACCGGCCACACUGGGACUGAGACACGGCCCAGACUCCUACGGGAGGCAGCAGUGGGGAAUAUUGGGCAAUGGAGGAAACUCUGACCCAGCGACGCCGCGUGAGGGAUGAAGGCCUUCGGGUUGUAAACCUCUUUCAGUAGGGAAGAAGCGAAAGUGACGGUACCUACAGAAGAAGCACCGGCUAACUAUGUGCCAGCAGCCGCGGUAAUACAUAGGGUGCAAGCGUUGUCCGGAAUUAUUGGGCGUAAAGAGCUCGUAGGUGGUUCGAUACGUCGGAUGUGAAAAUCAGGGGCUCAACCCCUGACCUGCAUCCGAUACGGUCGAGCUGGAGUUUGGUAGGGGAGACUGGAAUUCCUGGUGUAGCGGUGGAAUGCGCAGAUAUCAGGAGGAACACCGAUGGCGAAGGCAGGUCUCUGGGCCAAUACUGACACUGAGGAGCGAAAGCGUGGGGAGCGAACAGGAUUAGAUACCCUGGUAGUCCACGCCGUAAACGGUGGGCGCUAGUUGUGCGAACCUUCCACGGUUUGUGCGACGCAGCUAACGCAUUAAGCGCCCCGCCUGGGGAGUACGAUCGCAAGAUUA